UUAAUUAAAGCCAAAUUAGCGGCUUAUUAUUGUUAAUAAUAGAAUUGACUGUUAGUCUAAUUAAA
rnacentral:tRNA from 2 species